rnacentral:rRNA from 1 species
AGUGAACGCUGGCGGCAUGCUUUACACAUGCAAGUCGAACGGUAACAGGCCGCAAGGUUCUGACGAGUGGCGAACGGGUGAGUAAUGCAGCGGAACGUGCCCAGUCGUGGGGGAUAACGACGCGAAAGAUUAGCUAGCACCGCAUACGAUCGCUGGAUAACAGCGGGGGACCGUAAGGGCUCGUCCGAUUGGACCCGCCGAUGUCAGAUUAGGUAGUUGGUGGGGUAAAGGCUCACCAAGCCAACGAUCUGUAGCUGGUCUGAGAGGACAACCAGCCACACUGGAACUGAGACACGGCCCAGACUCCUACGGGAGGCAGCAGUGGGGAAUUUUGGACAAUGGGCGCAAGCCUGAUCCAGCAAUGCCGCGUGCAGGAAGAAGGCCUUCGGGUUGUAAACUGCUUUUGUACGGAACGAAACGGCUCUGGUUAAUACCCGGGGCUAAUGACGGUACCGUAAGAAUAAGCACCGGCUAACUACGUG